rnacentral:lncRNA from 1 species
GUGAAGGAGGCAAAAAAACCAAAAAGAAGAAAAAGAAGAACAGUCCUGGAGCAGACGGUCCUGGUAAAAAUUAAUUAAUAGCAUGGGAUCUAUCGACUAUCGUCACCAUCAUCUAAGAAGUAGCUAGCUCCCUCCUGGCUGUUGUACUUUUCAUAUACUAACAAGUCUAUCUGCUUACACAGAUCACAAUCAUGCAUAUAUGCAUGUUGUUGCUUUCUACUAUGUACGUACUAAUUAACAAAUAAACAAAAUAGCUGUGUAUCCGGUGACCUUCCGGCGAUACGUACUUGUCUCAGUUUCCCGGCAUCCGUUUGAAGUGCCAAUAUAAUAAAUUCUGCGUGCUGUGUCAUCUUGUUUCUCUGUUUCCAUCGUUCAGUUUCUACAGAAGCAUAGGUACUCUGCUCCUCGUCCGCAUUCGAAGGGAGAAGAAGUUGACUAUGUUUCACUUUGACCAAGGCCCAACAUCACUCCACCCCAUCUGACUUUGUUUUAACUUAAGCCCAAUCAGGGUUUGACUUUUUCUUUUUACAUAGCAUAAAUCACAUAGACGAAUCUGUGUGUGUGCCGGUGAUGAAGAGUUAUCGAUUUUUAAAUUUAAUUAUAUAUUUUACAAAUUGAUACUAGUGUAAUGUUAUUUUUUUUCUUAUUUCGAACAAAAAAUAUUGACGAUAUUUGAACCAUAUAUGAUUGAGAUCGAUAAACUGAUGUUCGUUGAUUGAAACUGAUGAAUCAUACUUGGGCGGGUGGCUCAUGGGUCUGUCGGGUUGACAAAAAGGCGAGGCAUAAUGAACAGAACAUUACAGUUCCAUGUGAAAGCUACAGUUCUUUUUUGAAAAAAGAGAUUUCAUAUAUUAGUGAUCGUUAAUUCCAUACAUGGGUUACUCAUCAUCCCCAACAUUCAUAACAAGGUCGAGCCACUUUGGUGGAAACGAACAAUUCAUAGAAGAAACUGCAAGCCAAUCGACAAGCUUGUCCUAUCCGCAAGGAAGAAAAGACACUUGUAUAUUGGUGUUGAGCUUGAGCUUCGACUUCAUAUAUCCAAUGAUCACUACACAUAUCCAGGACCAGAGAGAGUCACUUUAAUUGAGGAUAUUCACUAGGGAUUGGCAGUCUGAGUAUUAAUGGGUCGGUUGAGCAGUAAAUAUAGCCAGAUUGAUGGCUUCAUGAAGAGCAUGAGCUUCCGCAACAAUCGGAGAAGAGGAAAGGAAACGAUCGCUGGAACCACCACAGAUAAGUCCAUGGCCAUUAGUCAUGAUAACGCCAUAAGCCGUCGGCUGUGAAUCGCUCAAGAACAGCCCGUCAUGAUGUAUCUCAAAGUUAUGAUUCUGAGGCGGUGAACAAGGCUGAGGAGUGGGAGGGGUAGGAAUGAAGGUGUUGGGAAUCAUGUUUUGACCAGCCCUCGGGGAAGACCAGUCGUCCAAAUCUCUUUCGCCGCCGGUUAUAGAGAUGCUAGGCACUGGAAGGAAGGAUUGGAAAGUGAAGGCGUUCCUAGCCUUCUAAAUGUUCCAUCAGUAGACAGCAAAUUUUGUGCUCAGUACUUGAGAGCAUAAGGAUUUGAGAAACCAAUGCUAACGUUCAGAAGAAAAGGACGUUGAAAAAGACGGAGAAACCAGUAGAGAGCUUCCCCAAGUCAUGGCCGCGUGAGUGCAAGUAAAUAGGCAAUGGGCGAGGUUUUCCUCUCUACGGUGGUAGAUCGAGCAAAGAGUGGUUGGAGAGUAGUGGCGUUUGGCUAAGUUGACCCUGGUGGCCAAAGCGUCUUUGCAGCAUCUCCACAGGAAAAAACAGAUCUUUGGCGGGAGGGAUAGACUCCAAAGCCACUUCCAAUUGUUGCUUGAAACGCCGUUAUGGGUCCUCGUGAUGGCAUUGGGGAUACGCCUGAUGGUAUGGUACGAAGACUUGACCGUAAACCGUCCCAAAGGGUUAUGCUUCCAUUUUCACUCGUCUUCCAUACCAACAGGAUCUAUCAGAAUUUUGCACAUAGCCGUGGUCUGGGAUUGAUUAAAGCAGAGCGCAAUAAGAUAUGUGUCCCAAGCUCGGGAAUCCUCCUUGGUCCAAGCAGUCGCUUUCAUUUCCCCUUGGUCCGGACCGAUCAAUUUAAAAGAGUCGAUCCAUGAGAUCUGUGGAUCGUGCGAAAAGUGAUUGUGGAUCCAUCACCAAGACCUUUGAAGGCCCCUAAUCGGAUAACCUCUUUGGCCUUGGAGAUGCUUGACCAAAUCCAUGACGAGCAGCAUCCUUUUGACGAGUCCAGGAACUCAACCUUGGUAAAAUAGAGACCUUUCAGAAGACGAACCCACAACGCAUAAGGGUUAUCGAGCAUUCGCCAUGCUUGUUUGCUAAGUAGAGCCAGGUUGAAGUAAUUGAAGUUCCGAUAUCCUAAACCCCCAUCCCAUUUGGGGGAACAUAAGACCUUUUCGUUGCAACAGUGAAUAAUUUUCUUGUUCAUUGAACCAGACCAGAAGAAGUUGCAAAGAAUUCGGUCCAUCUUCUUUGUGAGGGUAUUGGAGAGUAAGAACACUCCCAUGAUGUAUGUCGGAAUGGCCUGACUCACCGCCAUUCCGACAAAAUCGUGAAAGCUAAGUUGGAGAGAUAAUUUUUAUAUGAAAUCGUACACCACAAUAUUUAGUUCUUUUUUUAUUUAAAUACGACUACUGCAAAGUUCAAUCAAGGUCAAUUGGAGAAAUUAUUACUCAAAAUCACUACGUUUUAGAUAGGAAUGCAUAAAUUUCCUCCGUUAUCCAAAUUAUGUUUCCAUCAAUCAUACAUAUAUUUACGUUACUAGCAGUUCUUUCUCAGGUAAAAAAACACACCAAUAAGUCAAACAGAUGCAAGCUUUCGCUCUCCAAAAAAAAGUUCAUUCAACAACGAAAAUACUCGCCUUGAAUCCAAUAUUUUUGAAGCGGAAAAAUCUUAUGACUACUAGUGUCUCUUGAUCCAUCAGCAUGUUGGCCCCCCUACUGAGUCUCCCACCUUAACCACAAAAUCAUGCCCACCGCCUACAGAUUGCUAUCAACUGAAACUCUUCGGCGAUAGAUCCUACAAUCAGGAUUCAUCUGUAGCGGGUUAUGGGGUUGUUAUAACUAACUCUUAUGGACAGAUGUCCAGUGGCAAAGUUGGGAAACUUGUUUGUUCAUCUACCCUCAUAGCUGAAGCUAAAGCUCUUCUUGAAGCCCAUCGACUAGCUGAGAGAUCCAAUCUCAGGACUCUCGUCCUCGCUGGCAGUCACUCUUGUGCUGGUUGAUGCUCUUAGACGAGAUAAGGAUGAUUGGCCAGGGCAAUGUUUCACAUGGCUACUCCUCAUGAAGGACAUUCUCCUAUCUCAUGACUGAAUUUCCUUAUCGUUUAUCCCCGUCGUCUCAAUAAAGCGGCGGACUAUGUUGCUUGAGGCGCUCCUUCGGCCACGCUUCCUCAUAACUAGAUUCAUUGUACCUAUUUUUCUGAUUUAUUGUAAAGCGUUUUCCUUUAGAAAUGAAUAUACAUAUCAUCUAUUUUGUAAAAAUCGUGGAGGGGAGCCACGUUGGUUGCAUGAUAUAGGAAGGAAGGCGUUGCGAAAAAAAUUGAGUGCACAAUCGUGUCACGUCCCACAACUAAUAGUAGUUGAGACUUUUUUGGAUGUUCGUGAUCUUUAUAUACGAGUGAAUAGCUUGAGAAAGUCCUCUUAGAUGUAGUUAAAAAAGAGGUGUUUUACUACCAAAAUAAAGUACACAAGGAGAUUAGAGAGAUGGAAACACAAUAUUAUUGUUCUUGUGUCAUUGUGUGUGUGAGUGUGAGAAUCAUAGAAGUCGUCGUUGUGCGCCGAAUGAAGCAGAGAAGCCAAAUAUGAAGAAAGAAUAGUAGCUAGGAAGGUAGGAACUGUACGCAAGUGUAAUAAGAAGUGAACUUAAUUAGCCUUCUUCUUACUUCAUUUUCUUGACCUUUCAACCAUUUGUGUUCCUAUAUAUACCUCUGUAUAGCAAUACUACUCGAAUCAAAACAAAAACAAAGCAAGAGUUGAUUAAGAGUACUACUAGCUACUACUGUGUUCAACAGCUGAAUCCAAAUAGCUAUAAUAAUGGCUUCCAAAGCUGCAACUUUCUUCUUCUUUUUGCUGGUGGCAUCUUUGCUCAUUACUGCUUCUUUUGGAGCUCGUCCGGAUAUUGUCGAAAAAUCUGCCACCGGAAAUCUGCAGGUGAGUGAUGUUAGCUCCGCACCAUCUCCUCCAGUUUCAGACGUUAAUGAUGAAAUCGACUGUAAUGGUGAAGGAGGCAAAAAAACCAAAAAGAAGAAAAAGAAGAACAGUCCUGGAGCAGACGGUCCUGGUAAAAAUUAAUUAAUAGCAUGGGAUCUAUCGACUAUCGUCACCAUCAUCUAAGAAGUAGCUAGCUCCCUCCUGGCUGUUGUACUUUUCAUAUACUAACAAGUCUAUCUGCUUUCACAAAUCAUAAUCAUGCAUAUAUGCAUGUCGUAGCUUUCUACUAUGUACCUACUAAUUAAUAAAUAAACAAAAUAGCUACGUAUCCGGUGACCUUCCGGCGAUACGUACUUGUCUCAGUUUCUCGGCAUCCGUUUUAAGUGCAAAUAUAAUAAAUUCUGCGUGUUGUGUCAUGUUGUUAUUUCUCUGUU